rnacentral:lncRNA from 1 species
GCCACAUUUAUCUAAACUUUUAAUCAUUUAAUAACUGUUCCCACCUCUUACCAGUUCCUGGUUCCAAUUCGAGAAGAUCAGAUCGACUAUGUGAAUCCCUUUUAUCUAUGUGAUUAGCGUUAGUUUCUCAAACAUGUAUGUGUCGUUUUCUGUUCCCUCCGUACCAGAGACGAGUUCGGUUUCCAAAUUGUCGAUUAUAAGAGUUUUAGAUCUGCAGAAUUGAGUUCGUGUGAAGCAGAUCUGAGGUGAAUUUCCGGUGAUCCCGCCUCGUAUUGCGACCAGAAAAGGUAAAACCUAGUUUUUUAUUACUCUUUCAGUUCAUAUCUUAUGCUUUGUUUGAACUCCAAACUAGGGUUUCGUAUUGGGGGAAUUCGAACAUAUUGAAUUAUCACGUUGUUGAAUAGGGUUCUCUUAAUGAAAGCAAAUAAAUUCUUAGUUUUCAGAAUUAAUUUCCUUGAAUGUUAUUUAACUUUGGUUUAAAACUGAACUUGAUUUGGUUUGUUCAGUGAUUCAGGGUUAGUGAUUCAGGGUUAUUUUAGGUCUGAAUGAAAUAUUGUUAUAGAAUUGGAAGGUUUUGAUUUCUGAUUUGUUUAGUAAACCUUAAUGUUGUUUGAUUAAUGGAAAAGAAUUGAUGAUAUCAACAUCUGCUUGUGAGAAGUUGAUUAAAUACAGUUAGACAAGAAAGGUGUAUAUGGCCAUUGCCUUUAGGAUAACAUAUUGAUUAAUGUUCUCUUUUGUGAUAUUGGUACUACAAAGGUGUAUAUGGCCAUUGCCUUUAGCAAUAACAAACAGUCCAGGUAACUUGAAAAUGUGGUUCUUCUAAAGAUUUUGAAAAUAAGUUGAUGGGGUGUAUUAUACAAAUGUGGAUGUACACAUGCUAUUAGUGUCAGCAUAUGAUAGUCAUGAGUAUAAACUACGGUUCUGUUUGAGUGUCAAAACUGCUGAUAGUUAGACAUCGCAUUUACAUGGUUCGAUAGGCAUAAUGAAGGUUAACAUUUUUUAUACAUGGACCCUUUGAAAUCGUCAACCAACAGAACGUUGUCUUUUUUGGUUGUUUUUCUUAAUUUAUCAGAUAAUCAGAGUUUCUCAAACACUUGAAUAACCUAUAGGGGUGUAACCAAGCCGAGCCCGAGCCCGACUAGGUUGAGCUCGGCUCGUCAUGUUUUUAUGAAACUCGAACUUAAGCUCAACUCUGUUCGAGCCUGCUUAUUGGGAUUAAGGGUGUAAACGAGCCGGGCCGAGCCCGAGUCCAACUAGGCUCGAGCUCGGCUCGUCAUGUUUUUAUGAAGCUCGAGCUUGAGCUCGGCUCGGUUCAAGCCUACUUAUUUGAGCUCGAGCUCGGCUCGCGAGUAAACCUCAAAGCUCGAGCUCGGCUCGGCUCGAGCUAUUUUGAGAACAACCUCAAACGAGCUAAAAGUUCGGCUUGAGCUCACUUCAAUAUCGCAUAAAUGAGUCAAAGCUCGGUUCGAGCUCGGCUCGCCAAUUGUAUCAUUAUCAUUAUUAUAUUUUAUCUAAAAAAGCUAAAACCUUGUUCGGGCUCGCGAGCCUAAACGAGCUUUGUAUAUCAGGCUCGAGCUCGGGCUCGAUAACUAAACGAGCUCUAUUUCAGGCUUGAGCUCGGGCCCGGGCUCGUUAAGGUUCGGCUCUUUCGAGCUAUUUACCGAGCCGAUCACGAGUAGCUCUCGAGCCUUUGGGCUUGUUUACACCCCUAAUUGGGAUACUAUGGACUAAUGGAGUUAUAGGAGAAGCUGGGUAGUAAUAUUUUUUUUUUCAAAUCAUUUUCUUGAGUAUUCUGAGCAUUAAUUUUGUCAACGAGUCUUUUCAAUAGGACAAUCUUUUUCUUCUUUUUUUGUACAGUUUACUGAACAUGUGUUUUGGUCCAUUUAUGACUACCAUGACCAUUUCUGCAUGUGUAAUAGGUAGAUGGUCAAUAGUAUUUUAUUUCCAAAUGAAAUUUAGAACUGACGGUCAAAUGGAAUUAUUAUUUUGUAUUUUUUUCUUUUCCCUGUGUUGAUUAUAUUUGUAAAAAUCAUGGAUAGUUAAGAAGAUUGUGUUUUGCAGGCUAUGGAUGUUUUCACAACCUCUUCGGCUAAGAGCAUUCGGUUGAAGGUGGCUGGGUUUGGCGGGGCAAAACGGACCUGCAGAAGUAUCACUGGGUCACUCGUAAAGUGAACUACCUAACCUGGAGGGCUGUGUUGGGGUGUAUCGGUGCUAAAGAAGCUUUGACGUGAAGAGGUUUGGCUUUAGAUAACACUCUUUGCGGCAGGUGCGAGCUGGUAAUCGAAGAUGUGAAUCACAUUUUUGUCGAAUGUUUAUCGGCUAGAAGUGUGUGGUGGCAAAUCUGUAGAUGGAUUGAGGAUCAACCACUUUAUUUUGUCACCUGUAUUAUAUAUUUAUAUUGAGUGGAAUUGCUUAAUUUUUUACUUGCUUCGUAAAAGUUGGAUCAUAAGUUUUUUCACUAGUAUUAGAAUGUUUUCACUAAUAAAAGAUAAAUU